CCCAGCCGGCACAUGACCGACCUUCAACGUUGAAAUAUGGUUGAAAUAAGGUCAGUUGUGGUUUCAACGUUGAAACAACGUUGAUUCAACGUUUAAAGCUGAAUGGUUGAAAAACAUCCAGCACAUGACCAACUUUCAAUGUUGAAAUAUGGUUGAAAUAAGGUCAGUUGUGGUUUCAACGUUGAAACAACGUUGAUUCAACGUUUAAAGAUGAACUGUUGAAAAACUUCCAGCACAUGACCAACUUUCAACAUUGAAAUAUGGUUGAAAUAAGGUCAGUUGUUUUAAUGAAACAACGUUAAAAAUGUUUAAUGCUAAAUGGUAGAAAAAGGUUAACAAGCUUUUAAAUUAUUUAUAUUAAAUUAUUUAAAUUAAUUAUUAUUUUAAUAGCAUUUAAAAAUAUUUUAGUCAUGAUACCUAUUCUAAAAUCUAAAGGUAUAUGUUAAAUAUUAUCAUCAUUAACAACAAUAAAACUAUACAUUUCGCUGCUUUAUCACACUGAAACAACUCCCAUUGGUAGUUUUAUUUUAUUACUUCUAUCAUGAUUGGUUAAUCUGGCUGUCAUUCAGGAAACUGGACAACGAAUCGGUUCGCGCUUUUCUACAUUUAAAAAUAUGACCGUUGUUGUCGUCUUUCUGUGAGUGAGGCGGCUAACUGUGAGCUGCUGCUCGUUAUAACUGACUGCUCGGUCGGUCCCGAAUUAUUUCAUAUUUGCCUGUACAUUUUUUAUUUAUUUUGAGCGAAUUUGAGUCGUGACCUGUCAAUGGAGUACAAAAACUGUGAACACAAGAAAGGUCAGGUGUUCUGCGAGGUCCUGAAAACAUCCUGUCAAAAUGAGGUAAGAAAAUCGCUAACUUUAUCUUUAUUAUCUUUUGAAAAUAGUAAAGUAUUACCAGAGUUUACAAAUGGGUAGUUAAAAGGACAUGUAACCUGCAGAUAAAUAAAUACCCGUGUGUCUAUUUUUGCAUUGCUUUAUCACAGCUGAUCAAGUUAGAUGCUCACCUAAUGUGUUACUGAGUCAUCGAGGAUCCAGCUUGUUCUUGAAACAUUGAAGUUUGCCCUCUGCAAGUGAACGACGCCUUGUGGUGCCAUCCCAGAGAGGUUCACAAUCACUCUCACGGACCUUUUCCUGGACUGUGCCCAGCUGGUGGAAUGACCUCCCAAUCUCAAUCCGAACUGCUUAGUCUUUACUCAUUUUCAAGAAACAUCUUAAUACUCAUCUUUUUCACCAGAACUUAACCAACUAAGGCUAGCACUUUUCCUUCUAUUCUUGUCUUUUAUAUAUAUAAAAAAAAAAAACCUGGCUAUGCGUUCUGUACUAGACUAACUGAGACUUGUCAUGGCACUUGUAUACUGUUGUUGUUCGCUUGUACACCUGACUGCUUCUGUUCUUCUCAUUUGUAAGUCGCUUUGGAUAAAAGCAUCUGUUAAAUGAUUAAAUGUAAAUGUUUAUACAGGACAGUACAGAAAGUGCACAAGUGGGAGAGAGUGGAGGGGACGGCGUCAGAAAGGACCGAGCGCUGGGACACUUUCAAGGAUCACCUGAAGCACAACCACACUGUAUACACUAAGGCUGCUGGUUCUAACAUUUUAGAGUGCCCUGCGGUAGAAAUCUCAUUCUGCAUUCCCCACGGUAAAGAAGACACAGUCCGGGGGGGUUCCCAUUAGAAAUCAACGGGUGGAAGGUUCCCUUCUCGAACUGUUCAACACAUUUUCACUGCACCAAUGUACACAACUCUUGUAAUGAGACACAUUACUAAAACAUGUUUUUGACAGAAACUGUAGGUUUCCACCAAAAUAAAAGAUCCACUGGUUUCAGUCAUAAAGGUACAAGGGUUUGUCUUGUAAGUGCUGCAAAAAAAUAUGCAUUUAUGUGCCAAAUUAUUUCACAAAAACCUUUAAAUAUUAUUGUAUUUGGAUUGUUCUACUACCUGUUUUUAGCAUUACCUCCAUGCAUACUCUGCAUAAUAAAGUGUGG